AUACAAAUCGAUAUGUAUUAGCGUGCGCUUGAGUGGAAAUCUUUCGAUCCACGAAAGCGCAAACGCCAUGCAAACGACUUGAGAUCUGGAUUCAGUCGGCUUUGUAACGGCUUAGCAAUGAAGUGAAUAAUAGGUAAUAUAUUUUUAUUUGCAUUUCUAGCACCGAACGUUACAGGUUUUUUAUUUAUAUAUAGGCCGUUUCUUUAACAACGUUAUUUAUGAAUUUGUACGCGUUUAAAUUCAGGCCAGGCCAAGCAGUUUUGGCUUGGUUGGUUGAGCUGAGCGAAGCCGGGCCAAGCUGAGUACAAUCCACUUUGUGUCAGGCCCGCGUUACCCACGUGCGCGCUGAGCCCGUUGACUGUCAUAUUUGGUUCGAUAUAAUGUUCGCGCUAGUUCGCUUUCUAGAUAGUGACCAUGCACAUGACACUCGUAGAUAUGUUGUGCGAGUGGAGGAUAUCCAUGAUUUUCAUCCGAAGCACGAGACGGAUUUCGAUGGCAAGGCAGUGUAUGUCGUUCACUGGGAGGAUGAAGCAAACGGUGACGACACGGGUGAAUAUAAAGCCCAGAUACUUCGACUUGGCGCCACAGAGAAAGAAGCUCGGGAAUCGCCAAAAGAAUUCCGAUCCCUAAAAUUGCAGUUGAGGAAGGCUCGGACGUUGAAGGAGCUGUGACCAAGAAGGCCACUGCUGCAAGAAUGAAAAAAACAGCUGUCAACCGAACUGCAGCAAAAAAAGACCGGUACGAGCAGAUCUUGAAAAAGCAGAUGAGCCACGCUCUCCGACAGAACUCGGAACAAACUCGAAAAACGCGACUGAGUUCAUCAUCAAGCUCGGAUGACUCUCUCGUGUCCAGCUCAGAAGUAACAGAAGAGAAGAAAAAAACCAAAUUUUGGAAAAAGAGAUGCAAGGAGCUGCGGCAAGACAACAUCUUCUUGCAAGAACAAGUUAGCUCACAGCAGGUGCUGUUAAACUCAAAAUUUCUGAGGUUUGAAGACCUGCAGCACAGCAAAGAGGCUGACGUUGAGAGCUGCACUGUACAAGCUAGAAAGGAGACAGCAAAGGCCACAAGCAACCUAGUAAAGUCCAUUCAAGAGACUGUGCCUGGGUCACCGAAUGCUGGCAGUCUACACUCACGAAGUGCCAUUGAUGACUUCAUAGAGGAACCUCCCACUUCGAUGACUGCAUGUGCAGCAAAAGAAUCUGAUGACCUGCCUAGUCCAAGGAAAUGUUUUUCAUAUUUAGAAGAUGGCUCUAUCCCUUCACAUUGACAUCCCGUAUAAUCAUGUGAUUUUGGGACAUGAAACCCAUGAUAUUAUUAUAAGCCGUGUGAAACAAACUGCCUGCCGAACAGCUCAGAGGUGCCUCCACAAUAACGAUGUGCAGCUACUUGGCAUGUUGCCAAUGACAGUGGUGCAAAACAGCAGCAGUUGUUGUUUCAUCUUCAAAAGGGCAUCUGCCUGACGCCUAUUCAGGCAAAAAGAAUUCUGUCUCACAAGAAGGCAAGGCUGGUGGUGAAGGAAACGGCACAAGCCAUAUGGUCCCAGAAAGGGCUAGCGUCACGCAGUGUUAAAGGUGGCGUAGCUCCAGGAAGAAGGAACCUCGGCGAGGUUGCAAAGCCUGCGCUGACACCUGAAAAGGUCGCGGUUCUGGAAGAAACACUCAACCAUUGGUCGCAUGUGACAGGCGCCGACUCGUCCAUUGCAGCCCGAAACUUGACCAGCAUACUAACUGAAAAAAUUCAGGAUUGCAUCAAGGCAGAGCGACGAAAACCUCCACAGUAAAUGUACUGCGAAAUGCAUUCAAUCCAUAGAUAACCCAACGAAGACCAAAGACUAGGGCUGUGCAAUGUUUUUUCUGCAUUAAUAAAUAGAAUCGUCUCAUAUACACUCAACAUAA
rnacentral:misc_RNA from 1 species